UAGGUCGUAACAGAAUUCCGGUGAGUAGCGUAUCCCUACGGAUGACAUUUUGGACACGCCAUUAACGUGUUAGAACAUUUGUUGUUGUUUUCUUGACAAUAUUUUCUUUCUUGUUCAUGGAAGACAUAAGUCAAGUUUGUUCAGUAUCAGUUGGAUCAGAAACAGGGCUUGAAAGGUGUGAGCCUAUCAAAAAAAACAGGCAUUCAACUUCUGUGAGAUGAACUGCCUCAGUCGGGACCAGGAAGUGUGUGUCCUGGGCUGGGGAGAUCCACAGGAGAGUAAUGGAGCCCUUGAUGAUGUCUGAUCUGUUGGUCAUUGAUGUGUUUAGAGUGCACAUAGGUCUGAAUGUUUGCAUUGUGGUUGUAGGGCUAUUGUGUUACUUACCUGUCUUGUCAGUUCUAGGUGGGGUCUGUGAAUGGCACAGUGAAGAGGUUCAGCACAGAGAAGGGCAUCAUUACUGAGACCAGACAGUGUGGGGAGAGCAACCAGGGCAGGUUCACAGGACUCGCCGCCACAGACCGGUUGGAAUAAAUAUUGGGAAGAAUGUUUUUUGGAUGUGACAGAAUCCCUAGCAGCGCAGCCAAGUGGCUACAGGAGGGAAAGAGAAUGGCCUGAAGGCCUGGGAUCCGGAGAGACCUGAAACACCGGUCUUUGCCUCCAAGAAUGUGCGUAAUGACUGGCUGGACCUGCGGGUGCCAGAGUGGGUUAGAGACAUGGCCUUCAUCGCAGACUCAGACAAGAUAGACACCUGCACAGGUCAACACCAGGUCUGUCUGUCUUUCCCUGUACAAGCCCUGUUCUUAGACUGGGUCUGCUGGUCUUCUCAGCCAGCCUUGGAGUCUUUCCCUGUACUCAAAUGAUACAUUCAUCAGGACUUUGGCGCAUUUUUUGUUAGAUACGCAACCAGGCCAGCGCAGUACAUUUUGGCACACUGGGUUUGGCUCAGCUCAGUACAUUUUGGGGGGGAUGAAACUGUCCUGUAAAAGGUUCAUUCAUAUUAUACAACGGGUGGUUCUAAUCCUGAAUGUUGAUUGGUUAAAACCGCAUUCCAGCAGGUGUCUAUUCCACAAGUUACCACCGGCUAAAUCUAUGAAGUCUAUUUACUCUGUUCCAUCUGACUUCACAAUCCACUGUCACAUCAGCCAAACCAAGCAACUUAUAAACUUGAUCUCCACUAUAAAAAGCAUCUCCUUUUGAAGUGAUUGUGUUAGCUGUGUUGUUGACUAGCUCCUCUGAACAACAGUGUCCUGAGGAGAGAGCACAUUUUCUAUGCCAGGCGAAAUUGCGCCUCAUUAGCUCAUUGUUAUGGAUGUAUCCAAAUAAAUGUUACUAGAAAACAGCUUAUGCAAAUGCAGCUACUGUUAUUAUUUUGUCUGCAAUGUUUGAUGUGACUGUAAGUUAGCAGUAGUUGGCUAGCUAGCAAGCAAGGGAUAAGAACAUUGCCAGCCAGUAUGGAAAUGGAACAUUUAGAAUGAACGACAGGGUCACAUCCAUAGAUACAGAACAAAAAGACUGAACGACUGGUUCGAGUCUCUAGCAACCGACAGAACGAACCACCGCUUGGGUAGCAACCCGGGACUCUGUCUUGUGGAAGGAUGAAAUAGUAUGAAUAAAUUCAUCAAAAUAAUGUUUUUAAUGAAAAUAUGUCAGUCAGAAUUUGAGUAUGUUGGUAAACCAUUGUAUAAAAGUGAUAAUGCCCUGGACUUUGUCUUGAGCUUAACAAUACCCGUGCCAAUAUAUCCUCCAAACACCGGCUCCUCGGGCAUUAUCACUUAAUUGGUCAAGUUCAAGUACCCUGAUGUAUGGUUUGUAUCAUUGCUACAUAAGCAAACCAUUAAACUUCUUAACUUGA